rnacentral:rRNA from 1 species
UACGAAGGGUGCUAGCGUUGUUCGGAAUUACUGGGCGUAAAGCGUGCGUAGGCGGCUUUGCAAGUCAGGGGUGAAAUCCCACAGCUCAACUGUGGAAUUGCCUUUGAAACUGCAUGGCUGGAGUAUUGGAGGGGUCAGGGGAAUUCCUAAUGUAGUGGUGAAAUACGUAGAUAUUAGGAGGAACACCGGUGGCGAAGGCGCCUGACUGGACAAUAACUGACGCUGAGGCACGAAAGCGUGGGGAGCAAACAGG